AAGACCUUGCGCUUUUGGAGCGGCCGAUGCCUGAUUAGCUAGUUGGUGGGGUAAUGGCCUACCAAAGCUUCGAUCAGUAGCUGGUCUGAGAGGACGGCCAGCCACACUGGGACUGAGACACGGCCCAGACUCCUACGGGAGGCAGCAGUGGGGAAUUUUGGACAAUGGGCGCAAGCCUGAUCCAGCCAUGCCGCGUGAGUGAAGAAGGCCUUCGGGUUGUAAAGCUCUUUCAGCCGGAACGAAACGGUUACGGAUAACACCCGUGACUACUGACGGUACCGGAAGAAGAAGCACCGGCUAACUACGUGCCAGCAGCCGCGGUAAUACGUAGGGUGCGAGCGUUAAUCGGAAUUACUGGGCGUAAAGCGUGCGCAGGUGGUUUUGUAAGUCAGAUGUGAAAGCCCCGGGCUCAACCUGGGAACU
rnacentral:rRNA from 1 species